rnacentral:lncRNA from 1 species
GAACCUUAAGAUGGCACUAUAACAAAGACUACGCGUAACGAAGAUUAAACUUGGGAAAGAAAGUUUGCCGGAUCAUUGAGCUAAGAACGCCGGAUACCAUCGAGACGGUGGAGAAUCGAUCAGCAAAUUUGGGAAAGAUGGAGUAAAUCCACGGAAAAACCCUAAUCAGAAUUCCACUUGGGGUUUAUGAUUUUCAAAUUUAC